rnacentral:lncRNA from 1 species
GCUGAUCCAGCAGCAAGCCCUCCGAGGACACCAGUGACUCUGGCUGAUGCUCCCCUGUCCCAUCCUCAGCACGUGAUGCCUUAAAAAUGCUUCAGACUUGCAUGAGGUUAAACUGCUGCUGCUUCACAGUGCACUUCAUCUCCUGGAAUGAGGUUGGUGCCAUUCAUUUAUCAUCUGUAUUUCUUUCUAUAUUUGGGAUUUUUUAUAGUCUGAAAAGCUUAUCCCCUAUGAUUUUUGGUUUUACUUGGCUGGCUCCAUUUGCAUGGUAACUCCCUUCCAAUAUUUCCCAUUGUGGCUCAGAAUGGCUAAGGAGCUGCACCAGGUGGGAGAGCCAGGAUCUCAGAGGAGCUCUGCAACACAGGUCCAGCAGAGAUGUCUGAUCCAGCAAAACUCUGCAUCAGCCUGGG